rnacentral:rRNA from 1 species
CGUGCCUAACACAUGCAAGUCAAGGGGAAAACCCUGCUUCGGCGGGGUAAGUAUACUGGCGGACGGGUGAGUAACGCGUAGGCAACCUACCCUAGGGAGAGGGAUAACCCAGCGAAAGUUGGACUAAUACCUUAUAACGCAUUUUAUUCGCAUGGAUAGAUUGUUAAAGUGUGCAACUUGUUGCACAUACCUUGGGAUGGGCCUGCGUUCCAUUAGUUAGUUGGUAAGGUAACGGCUUACCAAGGCGACGAUGGAUAGCUGGUUUGAGAGAGUGAUCAGCCACACUGGGACUGAGAUACGGCCUAGACUCCUACGGGAGGCAGCAGUGAGGAAUAUUGCGCAAUGGGCGAAAGCCUGACGCAGCAACGCCGCGUGGGGGAUGAAGUUCUAUGGAGCGUAAACCCCUGUAAGUGGGGACGAAGGAUAGAUAUUCGAAUAGGGUGUUUAUUUGACGGUACCCGCAGAGUAAGCUCCGGCUAACUCCGUGCCAGCAGCCGCGGUAAUACGGGGGGAGCAAGCGUUGUCCGGAAUUACUGGGCGUAAAGGGCGUGUAGGCGGUUUGGUAAGUCAGAUGUAAAAGGUCCCGGCUUAACCGGGGAUUGUCAUUUGAAACUGCCAGGCUUGAGUUCGAGAGAGGGUAGCGGAAUUCCCAGUGUAGCGGUGAAAUGCGUAGAUAUUGGGAAGAACACCAGUAGCGAAGGCGGCUACCUGGCUCGCAACUGACGCUAAGGCGCGAAAGCGUGGGGAGCAAACAGGAUUAGAUACCCUGGUAGUCCACGCCGUAAACGAUGAGCACUAGGUGUUGGUUGGCCGCAGGCUGAUCAGUGCCGCAGUUAACGCAUUAAGUGCUCCGCCUGGGGAGUACGAUCGCAAGGUUGAAACUCAAAGGAAUUGACGGGGGCCCGCACAAGCGGUGGAGCAUGUGGGUUUAAUUCGAUGCAACGCGAAGAACCUUACCGGGGUUUGACAUCAUAGUGAAGUUUGCAGAGAUGUAAACGUUCUUCGGAACGCUAUGACAGGUGCUGCAUGGCUGUCGUCAGCUCGUGUCGUGA